rnacentral:lncRNA from 1 species
CUUCGGUAAACGUUACUUAUGUGCGUCUCAUAAAUCAGGUGUCUGAGUUCUCAGGCUGUGGCUGCAGUCUACCAUUGAAUUACAUCCCGUGAGCAAUGUUGUCCGAUUUCACCGGCCAGCACGUUCUUCUCGAGUGUGGGAUUGGUUUUUGCAAGACCUCGAAAGGAUUUUGAUAAGCCACCUGCUUAAGGCCGGCUGAAAAAGAAGAAAGGAGGGCAUAUGUGGGUCAGCUCACUCGGAAUAGAAGAGGAAUCAGCCAUUCAAGGUAGGGGCCAUUGUCAUCUCCAGUUGGCCAAUUAGAAAAUUGAGUGCUGAGACCCGGAGUCGCCUGUCUGAGGUCACACAGCUGGUCAGUAGGGCCUGGAUUCAAACCCAGGCAGUCUGAUUCAAGAGCCUGAUUGAGAUCCUGUGCUUCUGUCUGCUCUCUUCUGCUGCACCUGUCCCCACGCGAUGAAUGACAAAGCCAGGCUCAGAGAAGUUAACCAGCUUGUCGGAGAAGACCUAGGUGGUGGUUACAGUGCUACGCCAGGAACCUUGGUCUGCAUGGACCCCAGAGGCCGUGCUCACAGCCAUGCAGCUGACUGGCCUCCCACGCUUGCUGGAGGAGCUACAGCUGCUUUUCUUGUGCACGUGCAACAGUGGAAGUGAUGGCUGACUGUGUGUUGGCUCCAUAAGAAGAACAUCACAGAAAGCAAAAUGGUGCCAGCUCAACACCAGUAUCCUCGGACUCUUCAGACAGAAAAACCUGUUAAUUCCAAUCACAAUUCAUUCUUUCAUUCAGCUCAUGGAAGCCAAGCAGGGCUUUGGGACAUUCAUUCUGGCAAAGUGAAACAACUGACUUUUUGUGAAUGCUAUUUAAGUUGUUUAAAUUUUCCACAUUGGAAAUAAAGUCAUUGCAUUUUUGUGAGGAUAAAACACAAAUUGUGGUGGAGUCCAGCGUCAUGGUAACAAUAAUAUUCCUACUAAAUUAAGACACUAAUGAAACAGAAAUGUGAUUGGAACAGGUCAUGGUGCACACACAAUUUGUUAUUGCAUAUAAAUAAAUGUCAAUAUUCUAUAAAUUGACAUUUAUAGACGUACGUGACAAAAUUUACAAAAUGUUAAAACAUAUGCACAGAUUUACUGAACUACAAACUUGUGAUAAAGUUGUUCAUGAAUUUUUUUAAAAAACUGGACUUUCACAUGUGUUUUCUCUUUUAUUUUCCCAUUAUCAAUCAAUUUUAGUGGACAUUGAGUCUCAGCAUCCUAAAAUGUUAUUAAACAGUGUAUUAAAACAGAUCUAUAAAUUUUCGUUGAAUUUUGUUCCAAAUCAGUUGGAAAUAUUUAGUCAAGUUAUUCAAUGAAUAGAGCAGCAAAACGUCAACUUUCAAAGCUUUUAGUGAAUUAUAAAUAUUGAAAACAAAGCUGGUAUGCAGAAAAAUUAUAAAAUGUAUCAGAAAAUGAUCAAAAUCAAAUGCUGUACAAGAGUUAAUUUUGAAAUUCUAAAAUGAGCUCUGGAACAUUUCAGCUUGUGGGAAGAAUCUUUUUAAUUGGAUAAAUUCAUGUUCUGUAUGAAAUGAGAUGAAAUUGAGAAAGCCAAUGAUUUUUUUUUUUUUUGCAGUAUCUGAAUCUGACAAAACAUUCAAAACUUAUAAGUAGGUACAACUUAUUUGAAAGGUUUAAUCUGGUUAAAAAAAAAUACGUGUGGGCUGGGCACGGUGUGGCUCAUGCCUGUAAUCCCAGCACUUUGGGAGGCUGAGGCAGGUGGAUCACAUGAGGUCAGGAGUUCAAGACCAACCUGGCCAACAUGGUGAAACUUUGUCUCUACUGAAAACACAAAAAUUAGCCGGGCAUGGUGGCAGGCGCCUGUAAUCCCAGCUACACAGGAGGCUGAGGCAGGAGAAUUGCUUGAACCUGGGAAGCGGAGGUUGUGGCGAGCCAAGAUCGCACCACUACAUUCCAAACUAAGGCACAAAGACAGCACCUGUGAAAAUAUCUGGGCUAAAAUAUUUAUGCAAUUCCAUAUGCAAAGAAUUGGACUUGAGAACAGCCUCUGCCUGGCAGAAUUUGCUGAGAGCUUAUCACUCAGAACCUGCACAGGGAACAUUUUCUCAAUAUAUUAUGGUUCAAGAGAAGAGUCAAUUGAAGGUACUAAUUUAAAUUUGUUAAUUGUAAAAUUUGUGGAAAAAAGAUUUCAGGCAAUUAUAUGGAAAAAUUAAAAAUAACAAGACCCCACUGAAGAAAAUACAUUCUUGUGAAAAAUGCCAGUGACAGGGUAUCAGUCAGGUACAAGAAACUGUAGCAUGUGAAUAUACAACAAGAACAAUUAUUUUGCUUAUCUUAUUUUUAAAUGUUCAGUUGAUUAACAUAAACAUGUUUUCUUUUGCUUUAAUAUUCAUAGGUGUAUGCAUAUAUAUUUAAAGACUUUUUUGAAAAUAGUUUUUAUCUAGAACUACUUUAUAACACCAUCAAUAUAAUAUAACCAUUUUGUUGGAUUUUUUCCCCUUCCUUCCUUCCUUCCCUUCAUUCCCUCCUUCUCUCCUUCCCUCCCUACCCUCCUUCCCUCCUUCCUUCCUUCCUUCCUCCAUCCCUCCCUUCCUCCCUCCCUUCUUCCCUCCCUCCCAUCCUGCUUUCCUUCCUUCCUUCCUUCCCUUCCUUCUUUCCUUCCUUCCUUCUUUCCUCUCUCUUUCUACCUGUAAAUACUAAUUUUUGGGGGAAAUAAUUUUUGACUAUUGGGGUGCCCCGGCAGUGUGCACACACAUGGCCUGACCAUCCCUCUCCUAGCUAUCUCUGAUGAUGGCCAGGAAGCUGAGGUCUAUGGUGACAGAGGCUGGCAGGUGGGAAUCUGUAGAAUUCCCCGGCGAUUGGUUGGGAUUUCUCAGGGAGAAAGGAGGCGAGGUCCUGACCUGUGGUGGAGGGGCUGGGGCAUUGAGAGUUUGAGAAGAGAUGGGAGGGUGUUGAGCACUGAUAUGGUUUGGCUGUGUCCCCACCCAAAUCUCAUCUUGAGUUGUAGCUCCCAUAAUUCUCUCGUGUUGUGUGAGGGACUUGGUGGGAGAUAAUUGAAUCAUGGGGAUGGAGAACAAAGCCAAGCCAAUAUCUUGACUUUAGCUCAGCGAGACUGAGUUUGAACUCCUGAUCUCCAGAACUGUAAGAUAAUAACUUGCAUCGUUUUAAGCCACUCACUUUGUGAUAAUUAAUUAUAGCAGCCUUAGGAAACCAGCACGGGGGUGAGGCUGCACCCUGCCCAGGAAGCCAGAGACGACCAGCUACGCAGGGACUUUAGCUCGAACCUGAUUAGGUCAGUGGACACCGCCCCCAUCCCCAGGACGGGGAGGUGGCUGGGGCCACUGCAGCCACAGCAUGUGUCUGCUCACAUGGGGCUUAUUUUUAAAGGGAUUGUCCUCACCUGCUGCUGUCUGUGUUUAUAAAGUUGGCUAGAGAGGAGAAAUCUUCCUUUGCCAGUUUUCAGCUUUAGCUCUGAUAUUUGCCUGGAACAUAGUAGGUGCUCAAUAAACAAUAUCUCUGGAUAUUGUUAGUAAUAUGUGACCCUAUUUGAAGAACUCAGAAGGGGCACUGGGCAAGUCUACAAGAGAUGGCAAUUCUGUAAUUCCUGUGUGGUAUUUUCUGAAUUCUGCACAUUUUAACCUAGGCUAUGAGACAGUGUGACUUUCUUCAACAAAUUAGUUAAUUCUUCAAAUUAACUCCAAUUUCAACAGCAUGGUGAUGUUAAAGGCAUUGGAAAUUCAGCCACAGAUGUUAAAGACCAUCAGCACGGUCACAUAGUAAGAUGCUACUUUCAAGCCACGAAUAACCCAACCAGUUAUUGGUCUUAUGAAAUCUUGUAAGCCAUCCCAGAGAGACUAAUUUAAUUUUUAUGAUUCAGAAUUUGCAGGCUGUAACUGGUCAGUCCAUGCGAACUCUGGUGGCUGCAUUCAGCCCUGACAUGUUUCACCUGACUUUGAUAUAAGGAGCUACUGGAACCUUCCUACGAGUUCUAAAACCUUUCCCUCCUCCUCCUGUUCUGGAAAAGCAAUUAAGACCCAAACUAGGCAUGAAAUAAAAGUCUCUUAAAUUGAUUUAGAAUUAUUUUUAAAAAGUACCCUCACAGAAGUGGAAAAUUUUGCCAAUAGGUAGGUGUAAAAGGAAGUUUUUUGUUUUUCUAAG